CUUAAAAAAAGGAACAAAACUUUCCCCACUCUUCCUCGAAAUUCAUUUUCUAGGUUUAAUUGUUAGUACAAUAAAAAACCCCUAAUAGUGUUAAUUCGUUCUUCUUGCCUUCUACGCUCCGCUCCAUUCUUUCCAUGAAUAUAGGUAAAGGACAAGUUGCUUAUUCCAGUAAAGGUUGAAUACUUGAAGAGUCCAAAAUGUGCCCUAUAAUGAAAACACUCAUAAAAGGUUGAGCUUUAUGAGGCAAAAAGAAAUCUAAAACAAAUGGCAAGCAUAUAACGUCAUGUCCAACAAACUUUCGAGUUCAAGUGAUUCUUCGGUAUCGGUUUCAUCUUCAUAAAAAUCUCUAAUAAAUAUAACAAAAAGGCAACUCUCAGAUUUUGAGUAUCCAAAAAGUACGAUAAAUAACCAGUAAUUAAGAAAAAAAAAGAGUUAAAACACUACAAAUCUAUUUCGAGAUAUUUCAAAUAUAGGAAGCUUCUUAUUAUGCAAAGAACAUAUGAUGAGAACUUACAUGGUUCCACCAAUAAAAUAUCAUACAUAUGUUUUUUGUUUGAUGAGAGGCUUCCUAUAUUUAAAAUAUUUUGAUAUGCAGAUUUUAGAACUUUUACUCUUUUUCUUCUUAUAGGUGUCAUUUGUCGUACUUUUUUUGUUCCUCAAUAAUCUGAGAUUUGACUUGGUGUUAUCUUUAUCAGGUUUUUCAAUGAAGAUGAUAUAAAGUGAUAGUGAAGAAUCAAUUUCACUAGAAAGUUUAUCGGACAUUGUCAUUGAUAACCUCGAGGAAGUUAAGCUAACCAAUUUAUAGGAAGAUUGUAUGAGAUGCAAUUUAUCAAGAUUUUCUUAGUGAACUCUAAGGGAUUGGAGAGAAUGCUAAUAUAUCAAAAAUUUCUUGAUCGGGAACUUUUUGACACAAGAUUAGAAUUUUUCUCCGAGAUCUUAAUUUUUUUUUGUGCAUCACCUAAAUAAAAAAUUAUCUACAUAGAUUUAAGUUGA